rnacentral:lncRNA from 12 species
GCGAAACUUUCCGCAUGCAUAUGGAUGAACACGCCCGGCCGCGGGAGAUGGUUUAAUGCGCUUUUCAAUAAAUUAAUAGAGGUUUUGGGGCGAUCCCGGGGCGAGGCGGCGCCGGGAGGGGGAGGACGAGUCCCGGCAGCAGCGCGGAAAAUCCGCGGAAAAUCCGCGGGUACCACGGGCCGGGAGAGAAAUUCCGAGAAAUUCCUGCGGGAAUGCGGGCGCCUUAUCUCCACGUGCACCUCGUGGGCACAGCAACGCGCUGCCUGGCACGCAGCACAGCCGGGCGGAAACAAUAUCCAGCAGCCUUGUAAGGAACGGCGGAGUUUAUUUAAACCAGCCAUUAAUCCUACUUACCUUGCUGCUAUUUGGACCUAAUCCUAUUUCCUCUGUGCAUUAUAAGGACAGUGAAACGACACAUUUUUGUUCUCCGGGCGGAGGCCGGAGGACAGUGAAACGACACAUUUUUGUUCUCCUGGCGGAGGCCGGCUGGGAGCAGCGCGCCGCCGGUGCCUGCGCUGCCGCCGGAGCCGGAGGAGCGGGAUGCGCUCCGCGGGCAGCAGCAGCAGCCUCCAAAGGAAAUCACUCAAGGGAAACUUCGCCACAGACAAAAAAAAACACAUUCAAUUUCCUGACUACUGCUUUCCUGCCCGAGCUAUUUAUUUUGGCAACCGCACGUUCAAUAAAUGAAAUAUUCAAUCAACUGACCUCCGUGCCAGCUCAUACGAUUCUUUCAGGAGUCCUCUUUUUUUUUUUUUUUUUUUUUUUUUUUUUUUUUUUUUUUAAUUUUAUUUUAUUUUAGUCCUUAGAUAAACUGCAGGGAGGGUUCCCAUAUCCCAGCUUUGCUUGGCAACUGAUGCAUUACGUGGCUUAUGAAUUUUGCAGACAAUGAACCCCAGUGUGGCUGGAGCGGACCGUACACAUCUACGUGCCAUUUCUCAGGCACCAUAGACAUUAGGGCAAAAGUAUCUCUUAUUCUCUCAUCUUUUUUCACACCUUUUCCUUUCCCAGACUUUGCCCCAAACGCUGAGUUGGGAUGUGAAGCUAAUGCCAGAGAUUUUGCUGCAGAGACAGAAACCACUUAAAAUAAUCAGAUGGCAAAAUACCAGGCUCACCCCCGAGAGCAGCGUUUGUAAUGCUCCUGCCUGGCAUUUUAUUCCAGCUUUAUCUCCCCGUAUCACACAAAUCCAUAUGCUGUGUAUCAUUUCUCUUUGAAAUGCCAUGAACUUGGUGUUUUAAAUCGAACCAGCCUUUCUUUUUUUUUUUUUUCUUCCUUUUUUUUCCUUUUUUUUUUUUUUUAACUGCAAAACAAUGGAGAUUGUCAAAGGGCCCCGGGUUGAGCUUUUCUGCGUGUUCACAAGGCGUUAAAGCUUUAUCGAACAAACCGGCUCUGUCUGACCCCUGCCAGACAAAAGGCAAGUUCCAUUUUCCUCUGCAGAGCAGAGGGGCAGAGAGGGACACAGGGAGGGACGUACAGUAGGGCUGGGUGGGCCUGGGUGCCCCAAGACAGUGGUGGGAUGUCCAGCCUGACCCUGGUGCUGCCAGUGCUGCUGCUUUUGGAGGUGCUGCUGUGCUUGGCCUCAUGCAGGUGGGGGGCAUGGUGCCAGUACAGCCAGGGAGCAGUUAUCCAGAGAGCUGGCAUGGAUUUUGGCAGCUCAGCCACAGGUUUUUGUGGUGCUGCACCCACCUCAGUGAGCCUCGACUCAAUGAAUGUCCACCCACCAUCAAUGGUCCUGGGGGGUUUGAAUUUUUCCUUGAGGCUUUGCACAGAGCAGAACCACUUCAUUGCUCCCAAGGUCCACAAGGAUGAUUUAACCUUUCCAUAAGGUUUUAAUGCAUAUUUUGAAUAAGAUGGGAACUGGUUGUUCUGGAGCUGCGCCACCAGGGAGGUUGGGAACAGUGGUCAGGCAUUGAAGGGAGAAAUGGUCAGAAAGGUAAGAAAUGUCAGAACAGUCUUUUGAGGAACAACAUGGGCAGGGGCACAAGUGGCAGAAGACUGGACCUGCAAAUUCUGGUGUCUGGAUGUGGGCAGCUACACGAGCCUGGGCUCUGUGUUGCCCAUAUGAAGCCCUCCUUGACCUCCAGCUGCUGGUGCAGAAGAGCAUUGGUCCAUUGUAGGCUCUUGGUGACAUCUACCAUCACCAUGAGUGUCCCAGACACCCUCCCAGUGGCACCAGUCUCUGCUAACCUCACCUCUGCCACACUCACACGGAGAGCCCAACAUG